rnacentral:rRNA from 1 species
CAGAGGGUGCGAGCGUUAAUCGGAAUUACUGGGCGUAAAGCGCGCGUAGGCGGCUUUGCAAGUCGGGUGUGAAAUCCCCAGGCUUAACCUGGGAACUGCAUUCGAGACUGCAUUGCUAGAGUAUGGGAGAGGGAAGUGGAAUUUCCGGUGUAGCGGUGAAAUGCGUAGAUAUCGGAAGGAACAUCAGUGGCGAAAGCGACUUCCUGGACCAAUACUGACGCUCAUGUGCGAAAGCGUGGGGGGCAAACAGGAUUAGAUACCCUGGUAGUCCACGCCAUAAACGAUGACAACUGGAUGUCGGGAGGGUCUGCCUCUCGGUGUCGUAGCUAACGCGUUAAGUUGUCCGCCUGGGGAGUACGGCCGCAAGGUUG